rnacentral:rRNA from 1 species
GACGAACGCUGGCGGCGUGCUUAACACAUGCAAGUCGAACGGAAAGGCCCUGCUUUUGUGGGGUGCUCGAGUGGCGAACGGGUGAGUAACACGUGAGUAACCUGCCCUUGACUUUGGGAUAACUUCAGGAAACUGGGGCUAAUACCGGAUAGGAGCUCCUGCUGCAUGGUGGGGGUUGGAAAGUUUCGGCGGUUGGGGAUGGACUCGCGGCUUAUCAGCUUGUUGGUGGGGUAGUGGCUUACCAAGGCUUUGACGGGUAGCCGGCCUGAGAGGGUGACCGGCCACAGUGGGACUGGGAUACGGCCCAGACUCCUACGGGAGGCAGCAGUGGGGAAUAUUGCACAAUGGGCGGAAGCCUGAUGCAGCAACGCCGCGUGCGGGAUGACGGCCUUCGGGUUGUAAACCGCUUUCGCCUGUGACGAAGCGUGAGUGACGGUAUGGGUAAAGAAGCACCGGCUAACUACGUG